CCAGCAGCACCCUGCACCGAACCAACAACCUUCUCUUUCAAUGGUGGUGAUCCAAAUCAGUGUGGAGCAGAAUGCACCAUAGAGAUGUACAACUCUCCUGUUGAACACCUCAAGACUGAAGACUGCAAGGAAAGAACGCUAAUCUACACCGAGCAUCUGAAGAACAACAAACAAGUCCUCCAGCACAUUGAAUCCAAAACCUGUUCCAGUUCCUCAGACACCAUCAGAGACUGUUUUGAAAGCCCUCUACGAUCAGGUCUGGAUAAAAAGAAACUUUGCCAACCACUGCAAGUAUCAAGUGUUUUAAAUUUUGUUUGACUGUUUAUUAUGUACUUAUUUGUUUUGGGUUGUAUUAAGUUUGAUAUUAAUUAGAUCAGUGCCUUUUUAG
ensembl:lncRNA